rnacentral:rRNA from 1 species
UAUCUGGUUGAUCCUGCCAGUAGUCAUAUGCUUGUCUCAAAGAUUAAGCCAUGCAUGUCUAAGUAUAAGUUUUUUACUGCGAAACUGUGAAUGGCUCAUUAUAACAGUUAUUAUUUCCUAGCCGGUCAGUUAUUCCUUGGAUACCCAUGGUAAUUCUAGAGCUAAUACAUGCUUACAGACCCAACUUCACGGAAGGGUUGCGCUUAUUAGAUACCGAACCAACCCCGCAAGGGAUUUAGUUGAUUCAUAGUGUUCUGGCGAAUCGACUUCUAGUCGAUGAGGCUAUCAAGUUUCUGACCUAUCAGCUUCCGACGGUAGGGUAUUGGCCUACCGUGGCUUUGACGGGUAACGGAGAAUUAGGGUUCAAUUCCGGAGAGGGAGCCUGAGAAACGGCUACCACAUCUAAGGAAGGCAGCAGGCGCGUAAAUUACCCAAUCCUGACACAGGGAGGUAGUGACAAGAAAUAUCAAUAUAAGACUUUUGUGUCUUGUAAUUGGGAUGAGCGGAACUUAAAUCGCUUCUCGAGUAUCAAUUGGAGGGCAAGUCUGGUGCCAGCAGCCGCGGUAAUUNCAGCUCCAAUAGCGUAUAUUAAAAUUGGUGCGGNUAAAACGCUCGUAGUUGGAUAUCUGUGAGCGGGUUCCGGCCUUCCAAGGGAAAUUACACCGGAACUCUGCUCGNAUUGGUCAGGGAGGGUGGAU